rnacentral:rRNA from 1 species
AUGGGGACUCACCGUCUUACUGAUCCUAACCAAACUCCGAAUACCGAAGAGUACUAUCUGGCAGACAGACGUCGGGUGCUAACGUCCGGCGUCGAGAGGGAAACAACCCUGACCUGCAGCUAAGGCCCCCAAUUCGUGGCUAAGUGGGAAAGCAUGUGAGACGACCAAAACAACCAGGAUGUUGGCUUAGAAGCAGCCAUCAUUUAAAGAGUGCGUAAUAGCUCACUAGUCGAGUGACCCUGCGCCGAAAAUGUACCGGGGCUAAAACAAUUUACCGAAGCUGU